rnacentral:misc_RNA from 1 species
GCGGGCUAUCCGCUUCGCGGACCGGCCGUCCCGUCGGACCGAUUACGGAAAAUUCGAGGCGAAAGCCUCGCGUUUCAGCGCGGGGAGGAUGUCAAGCC